UAUUGCCGGCCCCCAUACGUACUCAACCCUAUAAAUCAAACCCUUACAUUUCAGAGUUGAAUCGUUUAAGAAAAAAUGCCAGACCAUCCACCACCACCACACGGCGGCCACGGUCACGCACCACCCCCAGGUCCGGGACACCACGAGCCUCCUCCGCCCCAUGGCCAUGCUCCUCCUCCGGGGCCUCAUGCACCUCCUCCGGGACCCCAUGCACCUCCUCCGGGACCCCAUGCACCUCCUCCGGAACCCCAUGCACCUCCUCCGGGACCCCAUGCACCUCCUCAUGAUCCACACAAGCCACAUGACUGUCACCACGGUCACCACCACCCAUGAACCGAACUAGUCAUGAGGCCACGAUCGAGAAGCUAGUCUCAGCAAGUUGUUAUCUAUUUAUCUUUGUGCCUGUAAUGUGAUCUAGCUGCGGUUGUAGUUCUGAGUUGCUGGGUUUACUGGCUUUGCUCCAUUGAUCUCAUCGUUAUGUAAUGACUAAAAUAUGAGGACUAUGUAUGUAUCCAAAAGAAGGCUGAUCAUAUAUGUAUAAUAAGAAGAGUACUGGCUUUGUGGUUUAUGUAUAAUCCGCUUGUGUAAAACUUCUUCUUUUAUCCGUCUAAAUGUGAUGUAUAAUCAGAAAAUAUGGCCAGUUUGUCAUCUUGACCAACCUGAACUUACAAACUAAUUAAUUAAGUCAAUCUCCCCAAUUUCAUCAAUCUUCAUUAGGAUUUCAUCACUAGCUCAUUCCUUCACAGAUAAUUAACCAUUUGCUCGAUUGCUCUUAACAAACUGUAAUAGCCAAGAGGCAAACGCAUCCAUCUAAAUUCUAAAAAGUUAUUAACACAGGCUAGGGGUAAAUUAUCCUUUGUUCAGACCAAUCUCACAGUUGAAGCGAUGAAUUGGCUAAAACAAAAGCCUACGGGCAGAAAAACAAAGCAUCUCUAUUCGUACGGAAGAAUGACUUCCAUAUAUAGUAAGCCUUAUAGUUAUAACACCGUAAGUGUAUAAGAAUAGGAAUUCAUAAACGCAAUAAGAAGAAGACCGUGAAAGAGAUCGAAGAUUAAAGCAGGCCUUAAUGUCUUGUAUAUUCUGUACAAAAUUUCAACAGCCAGAUUUUCUCGAUGCAUUCGUCAGCUUCUGUUUGUAACCUUUCUUCUGUCAAAUCCUCCAUGGCUUUUCACGAGCAAUAAUUCUUGCAAGGUCCCAUUAACAAGCCUCACGUACGUUGUUCUUAUCUCCUUUUCCUUAGCUCACCAAGAAUUCAACUAUUACCAAGUGCAGCAACUAGUUUCUGUGAUCGAUCUACGGAAAGUUAAAGUUAUUGCUCAAAAGAGAAAGAGAAAACGGAAGUUAAAGUUCCAUGCUGCCCUAGUUCAAGUACGCACUCAGUUAUGAUCUUGUGGUUCUUACAAUGGAUGAAUGGAUGAAGCAUUACCACACAAAUACUCAGAAGAGAAAAACAAAACAACCACAGUGCACGAUUAACAUGCUAGCUAGCUUUCAUUGUGUGCAAAUAUCCUGAGCUACCAUUCCACCAAAACAAGCUAAAUAAGUUUAUCCUUGUAUGGAUAUUAUGUGAAUCGAAAUAAUUGUAUAUUUGAUUCUUAGAUAUUAUGUGGCACCUAUUACAACGAAGCAUGUGCCAUAUUCUGAAGAUAAUGUCGACACAUCUGAAUCAUCUAGAGCCCGUACCGACACCUUUCUCCUAUAAAAUCAACUCCUACUAGCUUAAACUCUUCAACAGUUCGCCACAUCAAGAACAACUUUCUUUUUGUUUAUACAAGCUAGUAGUCUCACCAAGAAUUCGAAGAUGCAUCACGGUGAUCAUCACGGCGGACCACCACACCACGGAGGAGGUCCGGGAGGAGGUCCGGGAGGUCCAGGAGGCGGCCCUCAACAUGGUCAUGGUCAUCAAGGAGCUCCGGGAGGAGGGCAUGGAGGACCAGGAGGAGGAGGGCAUGGAGGGCAAGGAGGAGGAGGACACGGAGGACCAGGAGGAGGAGGACAUGGAGGAGGAGGAGGAGGAGGACGAGGGGGGAGGAGGAGGACAUGGAGGAGGAGGAGGAGGAGGACGAGGGAGGAGGAGGAGGAGGACAUGGAGGAGGAGGAGGACGACGGAGGGCAUGGUGGUCACUGAUCAUGGCGCUAGACUACGUAUACUACUUGUGGUGUACUAGCUGGCUGAAUAAGUCUCUCUAUGUGACUUCUGUAGUAUUGUUUGUGUGUUAUCAUUUCCUAGUUGGGUCGAUCAGAUCCUAGAUAGUGAAGCUAGCUAGGGGAGUCGAUCUUGUGUUUGGAGUCUGUUAAUUAAUGUAUGUGUAUGGAUGUGUAAUAAAACCAUACUAGCUAUGUAUUUGAUUCGAGGCUUAACAUAUAUUGCAUGCAGCUAUAUAUAUAUAUAUAUAUAUAAUAUCCUUAGAUGACUAAGAACAUAAGAAACAGAGCAGUACUAUUGAUGAUUUACAAGAUUCAAUUUGUAUAAGUGAUCUUUGGCUUGUCCUAAUUAACCAUCAAGCAAAGCGCUAAGAACGAACAUAUUAUAUAUACUGCCAGAUGAUCAAGCAACUUUGCAGAGGGAUCAUGACGAAAUGUCCAUCUAGCAGCUUAAAUGCUUAAUUAGAACAAUUUUGCAAAACAAACACAAACUUGUAUAAUACGGUACCGAAAAUAUAAGUAUAACCGUUUGAAAUGUCAAGUUUAUCAAUCUUAUGAAAUCGAAGUAUCGUAAAUCGAUAAUGAUCUUCUUCAAAACUAGAACGAGAAUGUAACGUGUCUAUAUGACACUAUAAAUGUCUACGAAAUCAUGCGUUAAGAACAUAAUAUUAUAUUCCUUCGUUUUUUACUAAAGAAUAUCAUUACCGUUAAGCUUUAAUUGACAUACGUACGAUUGUACUUUGUAGUGAUACAUCUAAUUAUAUUGGUCGUGUGGUGCCCUUAGUAUAUUAAAAGGAAAAAACUAAAGAGACCAAAAGGCCCAAAGGAAACCACAGAAAUUGUCAUAAAGGUACAAGUGCAGCCCAACUUUCNNNNNNNNNNNNNNNNNNNNNNNNNNNNNNNNNNNNNNNNNNNNNNNNNNNNNNNNNNNNNNNNNNNNNNNNNNNNNNNNNNNNNNNNNNNNNNNNNNNNNNNNNNNNNNNNNNNNNNNNNNNNNNNNNNNNNNNNNNNNNNNNNNNNNNNNNNNNNNNNNNNNNGUCCUGAUCAUCACCUUCCUUGCCUAUGCUUCCUUCCACGCCUCCAGGAAGCCCCCCAGCAUCGUCAAGAGUGUUCUUGGCCCCAAACUCCUGUCCAAUUCGAGCUCUUUCGACACCGGUUGGGCUCCCUUUAAUGGCCCUGAUGGCACUCACAGGCUUGGAGAACUUGAUCUUGCAUUUCUAUCUGCAUAUUCUAUUGGAAUGUAUUUUGCAGGGCAUGUUGGUGAUAGGAUUGAUUUGAGGUUGUUUCUUGCUUAUGGGAUGUUAGGGAGUGGAGUUUUGACUUGUCUUUUCGGGUUAGGUUAUUGGUGCAAUGUGCAUAUGUUGUGGUACUUUGUGGGUGUGCAAGUUGUGUGUGGGUUGUUUCAGUCAAUAGGGUGGCCUUCUGUUGUGGCAGUUGUGGGGAAUUGGUUUAGGGUUUAGACAGCGGCCAUCACACGCCGGCCACGGUCACGCACCACCCCCAGGUCCGGGACACCACGAGCCUCCUCCGCCCCAUGGCCAUGCUCCUCCUCCGGGGCCUCAUGCACCUCCUUCGGGACCCCAUACACCUCCUCCGGAACCCCAUGCACCUCCUCCGGGACCCCAUGCACCUCCUCAUGAUCCACACAAGCCACAUGACCCGCACCACGGUCACCACCACCCAUGAACCGAACUAGUCAUGAGGGAUCACGAAGCUAGCUAGUCUCAGCAAGUUGUUAUCUAUUUCUGCCUGUAAUGUGAUCUAGCUGCGCUUGUAGUUCUGAGUUGCUGGGUUUACUGGCUUUGCUCCAUUGAUCUCAUCGUUAUGUAAUGACUAAAAUAUGAUGACUAUGUAUGUAUCCAAAAGAAGGCUGAUCAUAUAUGUAUAAUAAGAAGAGUACUGGCUUUCUGGUUUAUGUAUAAUCCGCUUGUGUAAAACUUCUUCUCUGUUAUCGGUCUAAAUGUGAUGUAUGAUCAGAAAAUAUGGUCAGUUUGUCCUCUUGACCAACCUUAACUUACAAACUAAUUAAGUCAAUCUCCCCAAUUUCAUCAAUCUUUAUUAGGAUUUCAUCACUCAUUCCUUCACAGAUAAUUAACCACACAUCCAAGCUGCAUUUGCUCGAUUGCUCUUAACAAACUGUAAUAAUUAACCAAGAGGCAAACGCAUCCAUCUAAAGUCUAAAAAUUAAGUUAUUAACACAAGGUUAAAUUAUCCAUUGUUCAGACCAAUCUCACAGUUAGAGCGAUGAAUUGGCUAAAACAAAAACCUACGGGAG
rnacentral:lncRNA from 1 species